rnacentral:snoRNA from 1 species
UGCUAUGAUGAUAACGGUGUCUCUUCUUUCCCAGUCCGAUUCGACCAUGACGACACGGGGUUCUAUCACGUUCGUAUUUGUUCGGAUCCUUUCGAGGUGAUGUUCAUUUUACAACUUUUCUUGCCAGUGUAAUUAAAUUUACACGAUUUCAACAAAAUCUCUGAGCC